rnacentral:rRNA from 1 species
GCUUAACACAUGCAAGUCGAGCGAGAAUCGCUUUGCUGAAGGCUUCGGUCUGACGCAGAAUGAGGAAAGCGGCAAACGGGUGAGUAACGCGUGGGCAACCUGGCCUUAAGAAAAGGAUAGCCCCCGGAAACGGGGAGUAAUACUUUAUGAGAAUAGAAAAGGGCAUCCUAUUUCUAUUCAAAGCGCAAGCGCUUAAGGAUGGGCCCGCGUAUCAUUAGCUAGUUGGUGAGAUAACAGCCCACCAAGGCAACGAUGAUUAGCCGGUCUGAGAGGGCGAACGGCCACAUUGGAACUGAGAGACGGUCCAAACUCCUACGGGAGGCAGCAGUGGGGAAUAUUGCGCAAUGGAGAAGAACUCUGACGCAGCAAUACCGCGUGAGCGAAGAAGGUCUUCGGAUCGUAAAGCUCUGUUAUCAGGGAAGAAGAAAAUGACGGUACCUGAUGAGCAAGUCCCGGCUAACUACGUGCCAGCCGCCGCCGUAAUAC